AGCAGGUUCAUCCUUUUAUUAAGAUGACAGCACCUCCUGUUUUUGCUCUUUGAUUCCUCUUGUUUUCAUGCUGCCUUGCUGCUGUCUCCAGAGCUGUGCCCAGAUGCUCCUGUUGUUCCUCCAGCCAUGACUGCUGGUUCUGGACUUGCACAGCCACGCAGCAAAGCAGCUGACACCUUCUCUGCUCCUGCUUUUCCUUCUGGGCUCAUGGACAUGCUGGGGGUUGUGGGCUGUGAAUCCAUGCCCUCAAGGCACAUUUUUGGGAAGUGUGCUUUAGAAAGCACUGGCUGACACUGUCUGCAGCAUUCUGGGUUUCCCAGCUUUGCCUGAUAGAGGUGCAAUCCCCCUCCUGUCCACAAUGCCUGCCUUAUCCUGCCAUUAAUUUGCAGCCUCUAAAGCAGUUGGAUCACACCAGGUGGGGUCCCCAAGAUGCCCAAGAGCAGCCCAGCUGGUGCAGGGUCCCAGAGGAGAAAAGGGUGGGAGAAGGCAGGGAGAGGUCUUGGCUCCAGAGACUCCCAGGUAUGAGUGUGCCUCGGACCUCCACACCUCCUCCUGCAGCCAGGGGAGCUUUCUGGCCAUUUGCAACUUCUGGUUUUGAGGUUAAUACCCCAGCCCCUCCCCAAUGCAGCUUUUUGCAGGCUGUGGUUCUUUCUCAGAUUAUUUAAACCCCCUUUCCUUAAAAACUAUGUGAGGAUGUUGGAAUAGAUCUUUUGCAAUCUGUUCCCAGGGAGCAAGGGUGCUCGUAGAGCUGGGGUGGAAUGGGCUGAUUGCUUCCACGUGGGGCCAAAGAAACCCCAAACAUCUGUGAGGGCAAGAAGGAAGAUACAGAACAAUCACAGUUUUAAAAUGAGAUUCAGGACAAAUCACAGUUUACCAGUUUUACAUCCAAGAAAAGGAUGCUUUGACUUUUCCCCAGACGUUUUUCUCUGAAGAUGCUGACCUGGCUGUUGCCACUGGGAGAGGAUGCAGUGAAUCCUCAGCUCUCAGGUGGGCUGGCUGCUGCCAGAAUGACACAGUGCUGGGGUUUGACCCCAAAUGGCAGCUCAGCACCAUCAUCCACUCACUCACUCCCCCUGAUGGGAUGGGAGAGAGAAUCGGAAGGAGGAAAGUGAGACAAACUGGCAGCCCAGAUAAAGACAAGGAAAGAAAAAGCUACAUGCACCAGCAAAGCAAAGCAAGGAAUCUGUUCCCUCCUGCCAUUGCAGACAGGUGUGCAGGCACUCCCAGGACAGCAGAGCUGUGUGCUCUGGGAUGAUCUGCAUCAAGGGAAAUUCAGGCUGGAUAUUAGGAAGAAGAUUUUUACAGAAAGGUGAUAAAGUUCUGGAAUGGCUGCCCAGGGAGGUGGUGGAGCCCCCAUCCCUGGGUGUGUUUAACAAAGCCUGGAUGUGGCGCUGGGUGCCAGGGUUUAGUUGAGCUGUUUGGGCUGGGUUGGACUCAAGGAUCUUUAAGGUCUCUUCCAACCCAGUCUGUGAAUUCUGUGACUAUCCUUUGGGUCAGUGGCAGCCAGCUGUCCUGGCUGUGUCCCCUCCCAGCUCCUUGUGCACCCCCAACCUGCUCACUGGUGGGGUGAUAUGAGAAGCAGAAAAGACCUUGGCUCUGUGUAAGCCCUGCUCAGCAACAACAAAAACAUCUCUGUGUUAUCAGCCAUGUUUUCAGCACAAAUCCAAAGCACAGCCCCACAGCAGCUAUUGGGAAGAAAAUUAAUUCUACCCCAGCCACAACCAGCACACAGAAUCCCAGCUCCCCAUCCUCUGUGGGGUUUGGUUUACAUGACUCUGAAAGGAAAACUCUCCCAAAACUCACACAAGGAAGAGCAAACCAUGCAGAUGGAGCUGUGUGGGGCAGACAGGGGCUCAGAUCCCUGGCUGGAUUGCAAGCAGCUGAUGUUCCUUUGGUGGAACCUUUUGUUGCAUGCAGAUAAUUCUAGGCCCUGCACCCACCUAGUGAUUUUAGUGCCCCUGGUUUUGAAUCCUCUUUUCCUGUGGUAGUAAGCAGCAGCCACAAGGCUAAUGGGUGUAUUCAAGACCUGUUCUAGCAGUGUUAAACUCAUUGCAGAAGCUCAGGACCUGCCUUUUGGCUCCUGGGGGCAAAUGUGUGUGUGAGUGAGUGAAUGCAGCCCUGCAGGCACAGCUGAUACCUAAAGCAGUAAUUUCAAGGAUGCUACAUAAACCCAGGAAUAGAGCAAUACCUACCUGGAGGAGAGCAGAGGCACUGGAACUUAAUUUAAACUCUUCCAACUCCCCUCCCUCCCAAUUCUAAGAUAAAUGGACACAAACAUGCCCUGGAAGCUCUUGUGGAGCCCAGCCAGAGAUGGGCAGGAAGGAGCCAAAGGCAAAUCCACAGCUUGUCUUGCUGUGCAGGAGGCUGGGAGAGGUGUUUAUAAACACCUUUUCUGCUCACAGUGCUCCUGGCCCCUCUCUGGCUCAUGGCCAGCCAUGGCCCUGCUCCAAGCUUGUUUUGCAGUGUUUCAUCCCCCGUGCUUUGCCUUGGUGCUGAGGCUGAGCAGGGGCUUGCCCUGGGAGCAGGUCCAUGCUCUCAGAGAGGGUGUGAGCUGCUGUGCCAGCCCAGGAGACAGGAAUUGUCCCUUCAGAGCUGUUCCUGGAGGUGGCUCUGAGCUUUCACACUGGCCCUGUACUUGCUCUUGCUGUGUCUGGGACAGGUGAUGUGUUCCAUGGGGUUGAGCUUUGUCGAGGGCUGGGCUCUGGGGUGGGGCAGGGGUCCCACAGCCCUGUGGGGUGGGCACUGACCCAGGCAGGGGUCCCACAGCCCUGUGGGUUGGGUACAGAUGAUGCUGGUGCUGAUGCUCUUUGGCAGUCUCAUCAUCAGGACAGGAAUCUGGUUGGGUCCCUGGGAUAAAAACACUUUAUUGACUGUAAACAAGCCUAUUUUCACAGAGACUUCUCAGUCUGGCCUGGAGAAUGUGGGAGCUUUGGUCCAGAAGAAUUUAUAGCUUGUAACUUCUGAACUGCUCAUUGUGCACACAGGAAAACAACCAAGGCAUCUCAUCUCACCAGAGCAGCUGGUUGUGGUGGCAAAGCCUGAUUAGAGGAGAUACAAGAUGAUCUCUGAGUGUGAUUUUGUGGAGUGAGGGGUAACAGGACGAGUGUUUGAAGCCAUUCUUCAGGAGGAUAAAGCUGUUCUUUAGCCAUACUCCAGUGCCUGCCCUGGUAGGAAGUCACAGCUGUCCUUCAAGGAGGAUGAAGGUCUCACUGUGCUGAUCCAUGGAGGUAUGGCCAGAUUUGCAUUCCUCCUGUGGGAGGCAGGUGUGAUAUCACCCUUUAAAGGUCCGUAGUUUUCUAUAGAGGAAGAGAAAAGCCAAGUUGGCUUUUCAUUUUAAGCUUUACCAGAAGAAAAGGGACUGUGGUGAGGGGUUAUCUAAGGCAGCACAGUCUCUUGUCAUUCACAGGGUGAUGAGGUUGAUUCUGGCCCUGAGGUGAAGAGAGGCCCAGCUCACAGCUGCAGGGUCCUGUGAGCCUGGCCUGGGUGCUGUGACAAGGAAGAGUCGGGCACUGCUCCUUUUCUGUCAGUGACUUCCCACGGGCAGCAUUAAGAAUUGUUGUACUGUAGCAGGGGGAUGUCUCAAAGUAUCAAAGUUUAUUCAGUAAUUAUUUAACAUUUGCCUAUAUCUCUUUCAGAGCUGCUCUGGGGGUAUUUUCUGGAGCAUCAUUGUGGCUCUGGGUGGGAUUCUUUUCUGUCCUGUUGAGAUCUGUAUGGGAUUUAAAAACCUGGGAUUCCUGCUCUCUGUGGCUUAUCUGGAGACUACCAGCUCAAAAAAGCUGUCCCAGAACUCAUCCCAGUGUUUUGGAUUUUGCUGAAGAGAUGUUUAAUUGAAAACUUCUUAGUCCAUAAGCCAGACCCUUACCACAGAGGCAAAAUCUUUUUACUUUUCCCUCAAAGAUGCCAUGAGUGAAAUGAUGAAGGUACAGAAUUUUUCCAUGCUCUGGUUUCUCACAGAGCAAAUUGGCUGCAGAGUCCACUCUGGCUUGGUAUCAGAAGGGAAAAACCUUCACUUUUAUGAGGUAAUUCCUUGGUGUGCUUUUAGACCCACAGGUCCCAGCUGGGGCUGUGCAGAGACUGAAGGACUGAAGGAGCACAGACUGGAUCACACCAGCAGGAGGAGAAAACCUUGGCUCCCCUAAAUCCUGCUGCUGGGGAGAGCAGGAAUUGCCUGGUGCCAACACAGAAUGCAACCAGCACAGCAAGAAAUUCUUCUCCCUCCCCAGGGGCCAUGAGGGGGUUUCAGCCUCUCACAGUGUCCAGAUAGAGGAGCUGGUUUGAGGAUAUUGCUUAUGGGAAUAUUUUGGGAACUCAUUAAAAAGAGAAUUAGAGGCCAGCCCUGGUGUGAUUGAGAUAAGGUGGUGUGUAAAUGUGCAGGAGACAUGAAAAUCCUCUCAAUAAUUAAAUUCAAUUAAUUGUUUUACAGCUGCUCAGCAAAUACCAUGAGGUUCAGGUGGGGAGAUGCAGUGCUGGGAUUCCACAAGGUUUGGAUGGAGCAGGUAAGAGACUGUGGUGUGUGCAGCACCUGGUUUGUGCUGAAGAGGAAAAUUAUUUACAAAGCAGAAGUAUUGGCAAACUGGCUUUGCUGGAGACCUGUGGGACAGUGAGCCAAGAGCAAGUACAGCAGCCACAGCCCCUUGUUCUGGGGAAAGCAGUGCAGGGGGCUGGGGAGGAAAGGAGCUCUGACCCCUGUGAGAGGGAGUUAAUUCUGCAUCUCAGUAUGAAAGCCCUGACAGCAAAUGGCAUCAUAAAACAGCUGCUUUAAUAAGACAGAAUAAAAAGAAGGAUCUGUAAUAGCUUGAGGAACCAAAAAGGAAGAACUUCUCUCCAGGGAAGGGAUAUGUGCAGCACUGGGGAAAAUCCAUCCUGGGUCCAUCCCACGCUGCACAAAUGCAGGGUGCUCUGCAUGAGGUUUACUUGCCCUUGAUAUUUCUCUUUUUACUCUGCCUUGUUAAAACAGAUGUUUUAUGAAGCCUUUUGCUGUUGGGCACUUCUCACUGAGACUGGAGAGACCCCCACACCACAUCCUUCCCCAGCCCAGGGAGUGUCCCUGAGGAAAUGGCUGUGCUUGUUGGGGGACUAGGGACAGACUCACUGCUCCCCUCAGAGCAGAGCCAAGGCUCUGCUGCCUCCCUGGCCAUCCCCAGCCUGGGGAAACAAGAGGCUUGUGCCAGACCCUGCUCUGAAGUGCCUCACUCAGGUCCCCAUUGCUUCCCUGCAUGAAGCAGCAGUGACUCCUGGAAGGGGACAGCAGUGCUGCGUGUUGUGUAGGGGCAGCCAGCAUCACCCCACGAGCUGGGGGCUCACAAACAGCCAUGCCAGGCUGGGGAGAGCUCACAAAUGCCAGAGUGUCAGGGUCCUGGCAGGGGCAGUAGGAUGGAGCCCUGGGAUGCUCCUGGCUGGUGCCUGCUUGCACCAUGACUGCUGCCAGGACCAGAUGAGGGUGACCACGGCCCCACUGGGCUCAGCCUCAUCAACCCCAAACAGUGCAGGGCCCCUGUGCCCAUGCUGGGUGGUCUCCUGGGGAUACACCCCCUCCUGGGGAGGAAAGACCACCUGGAUAUUCACCCUCAGCCUCCCAAGCUGCUCUAUAAGGCCCCUGCCCUGUGUGACAUGUCCCACCAAGGGGACUUGGGCUCUGUCACCCUUGCACCUGCCCUCCAGGUAGUUCUUAGCCAUUAACUCAGCCCUAAAGUUCCUCUCAGACAGACUAAACAAGGCCACCUCCCAUCAUCCCUCCUUUUAGUGCCCUGUCCCUGCCCCAGUGAGUCUGUGAGUGUGAUCCAGCCUUCAGAGGCAGGAGCAGCACCCCUGGGGCAGAUAAGUGUUGGUGCUGUCAGUGCCCCAUCACUCCUGCAGCAAGCAGAGCCUCCCACUGAAGCCUCUGUCUUGUCAGAGCUGGCCUGGCAUCCUUCCUCUUGGGUCUGUGCUGCUCAGAGUGACCCCAAGAUGGGCAGGAAAGUCUCUUUUCCCAGCCCAGUGCUUGAAGAAGGAGUCAGAGCUCUUCAGUUCUCGGUCUCAAGGUUGUUUAUUGUUCCUUAUCUAUAAAAUUCUUUCUACUGUUCAGCUGAGGUCCUCUCAGCAGGUCAGACAGAGGCACUCUGCCUGCCCUGGGGCAGUGUUAUGUCUUUAUACUAAAAACUACGUGUACAAUAUUUACAAUUACUUUCCAAUACCUAUCCCCUAUGUUAGACAGUGAGCUUCUACUCUAAACCAAUCUGUAAGUGGCAACAUCACAGCAGAAGAUGGAAGCUAAGAAGAAGAAGGAGAAAGGCAGGACAUGCCCAGAUUCCUCCAUCUUGCCCCCUGAACCCCCAUUCUAGAAACCCCAAAAAUCUAUUUUUCACCCUGUGAUAAAUUCACUAUCAUUCUACUUAAACUGUUGUGGCUUGCUGAUCUUCAUCUAAGGUUGGUAACUUGCUCCAUGGGUCAUAAUCAAACCCACAGGGGCAUUUUGGGCUCUGUGCCAGGGUCUCUGAGCCCCUUGGGCAGGGGUCUUGGCUGCUCAGGACAGACAGAGGGAUGUCCCAAAUUCCAACACUUCCCAGGGGAUGAAUUUUGGGUGAGGAAAUCCAAAUUGCUGUCCCUGGCUGUGCAGGGUUAAUCUCAGUGGAGAUGCAUGAGCUGCUGUGUAGGAGCAUCGGGGCUAGGACGGUUGGGAUGGACGGAGAUGAGAGAUCUCUGCAGCCAGGUCAGGAACUUGGGGUUUAUUGCAAAGGGCCGGGGUGCAGGGCCCUGCUGGGAGCUGCCAAACACAGCUGGAGCAGCCUGAGAGAAGAGAGAGGGAGAGAGGAUGGGAGGGUAAGAGAGUAAGAGGGGCAAAAGAGCGAGGUUCUCAUUACAAUACAAUAAAUCUUCUUCUGUGUUGAAUAUUCUGAUUCUCACUAACCAAUGUAGUACAAAAUACAAAUCCUACAGCAUUUACAUACAGCCUAUAAGAAUUAUUACAUUACCACACUGUGUUACAUUUUAAACCCUAAAAACUCCUCUUUGGGCCCUUCUGCCAAGCUGGCAGGGUCUGCUCUGACCCUUGGGCCUGUCUGCAAGCAGAGGGUGUUGUUCCAUCAAAAGGGGAUCACCUUCAGCUGGCCAUGCCAUUGUUUUCCAGUUGUUCAGUAACUGAGGGAUCUCAAAGCUUGCUUUCAUUUCAAUCUCGCUUAUAGUUUCCAUAUUCUCAAAAUCCUUUGCCAAGCAAUCAUAUUCAUAAAGCUUUCCUGUUUCAUUUUCCCCAGCAGUGCUGCCUGUGUCCUGAGCUCCAGGCAGGAGGUGCUCAGCAAAAGGCUGAGGAGGGAAAGCCUGGGAGGGCAGCGUGGCCUGGGGUGCUUGGGAGAGUCUGGAGGUGCCCAGGAGGGAGGAUCCAGCACGUGCACGUGGGUGCCCACGGCUCACACAGGGAGAUGCAGCAGAUGAGCUGCCUUGCUCGGUUUGUAGCCUCCCACUGCUGUUGCACAGGCUUUGCGAGGAGGAGAAGGAGCUGAAAAUGGAGCUGAAAAUGGAAACUUGAGGCUCAGAUGCUUGGAGGGGCUCAGGAGCCCGGCUGAACCCAUCACUCCUCAGGGAAGCAGGAGCUUCUGUUCCUCCUGGGCCCUGUGUCCUUCUCUCAUGCCCAGCACAGAGCGAGACAUUCAUGCUCCACCUUGGAGCAAAAGUCAUUUUCAUUAACUUAUUGAGCAAAGGAGACAUAAAGACACAAUUUAAUUGCAAACCACAGGAUUACAGUGUGAGAUGAAUUGAGGAUAGAAUGAGGGAGGAAAAGAAAAAACAACUUGGUCUUAUUUUUUAAUUUGCACCCCUUUAGCUGGCAGAGGAAGAGCUGGGUGAGGACAUGGCAGUGCCAUGGUGUGCCCUGGUGGGUGGGAUCCAGCAUUCAGGAUCUGGCUACCUCAAAACUGGUUUGGACAGUCCCAGUGGCUGCAGCUUGGCCCCUGGUAGGUGCAGGAUGAGAGCCUGGUGUGCAGGGAGCCAUGGGUACUUGUCCUGUGGGUUUCCUGCCUGGAUUCAGCUCCUGCUGCCCUGGGUGUUGCUUUUGGAGAGUGCAGGAUGUUCUUGGGAAGUGCAUGGCAACAGGAGAGCACCAGGAGAGCAAACAGGGCUCCUCUUCAGCCCCUCACAUGCAGCAGCACCCCUGACCUCAUCCCAGCUCUCCUUGCAAAGGGCAGGAUGGAAAGGUGAGGGAUGAGGCUCUAGAACCCCUCCAAUCCCCCUGGCUUCUUGCAGAAACUGCUAAUUAAAGAGCCCAUUUCACCAAACGAUUUUUUUUUCUGAUGUGAAAACUUUUCCAUAAGGAACUAGUCCCGAAUCCACCAACUCAUUUCACAUUUAUUUUAAAUCUCAGCUUUAUAUUCUGUAGUUUCCUCCAGGGCUUGAUUAUCUUCUCAGUAAAAGCUCUGUUGUUCUGGUUUGUGGGACCUAUAUUUAGCCUUGCCCUCAGGUCUGUGCACCUCUCAGUGCAGGGCUCAGAUGCUGCCACCCGAGCUCCUGGGCUUUCCUAUUUAUUUGGGUCUAUUAAACAAGUUACCAUUUCUGUAAUAUCAAGGGCAUUUUCCAGCCACAGGCUGCCUACAAGCAGUAACUUGUUGCUGCAGAAAUGGUCUCCUGGAUCUCAGAAGUAAUUUGGAGAGGGUCUCUUGUCUAACAAUGGCAAAUUAUGUUUAAACAGGGAAUCAAGGGCAAAGCCAAAGAGCCUUGUCCUUCUCUCUUAUUGUGGUGGUAUCUCAAGUCCUCAUUCCCCAUGUUUCCUACACAUGUAAUAAGGCAUACACCCACUCAGCAUAUUUUUACAUAAAAAUACACAAAACAGGCAAAAGUGGGAGGGGACUUUGCCUAUGAAGGGAAUUCAGAAGUGCACAGGCAUACCUGCUGCCCUGGUGUGGCUGCAAUUGUUAUUUGAUACACAGGGGGGUGUAAGGAGGUUGUGCGGAGAGAAAGGAGAGAGUGAGAAAGAGAGAAUCAUCUGAGUGGCUGGCAGUGAAAUCCAGCCCAGGGAGAAUCUCUGGGAUGGAGGGGUCUCUCAGGCUGGGAUACACCAUCCUGUGGGGAGCAUUGCUCCCACUGCUGCCAUUUUCACCCUGGCAUCUCUCUGGUGACACAUCUCAGCUCCUGGCACUGCUGUCCUUCUGGGGGACGUGAAACGCUGCCUGGCUGAUCAUCAGCUCCCUGCCAGUGUCCACCUCUGCCAGUGCCACCACAGGAACCCUCUGGCUCUGGGCAGGGGUGCCCUGCAGAGGCUCCUCCGCCCUGAGUGGAGCCCUGCAGGAGCUGGAGCUGCUGUGGAUGUGUUGGGUGCAGCUGUGUCCAAGGAACGAGCCAAGGCACGCGACAGCAAUGAUCCACGAGCAAAAUCUGGGUGCUGCAACAUCUGAUUGGAAGGCUGGGAGGAAAAAAAGGGAAGGCUGAAUUGUUUAUGGUUUGUUUUUCAUUCAUCAUUCCUGCUUGUGUGGGUGGACAAGGAGUGAAUGAGUUUCUCGGGGAGGGCAGCAAAUAAAAGAGGCACACAUUUCCUUGAA